UAAAAGAAACUUGAAACUGAAGGGAAGAUAUUUUUAGAGAAAAAGGGGGAAAAGAAGGUGACUUCUCAACAAAGAUUAGGGUUUUUGGAUCUUUAUUUUGCUUUGAUUCUUCACCAUUCGCAGGGUUUCCUCCUCGUCCUCGGUCACAGUACAGGGUUUUGAUUUGUAGGUUGAAGAGAAGUUUUGGGACAGGGAAGGAAUAAUUGAAUUAUUUGGGUGUGGUAGUGGAGAAGUUUGUGGAAAUUGGAUUAGAUUAGGAAUUUGAGUUUAGUGUUAGGUGGAUUAUAGAAGGAUAAGAGUGGAAUUGUGUUAGAGCAUGCGAAGUUCUUGGGCGGAUUCUGUUGUGAACUCUGCAGCUGAGAAUGUAGCUGCUGGUUCUUCUGCUAGUAACGGGGUUGCUACUGCUGCUAAGCCUACCAGAGGUGCAUACAUUCCUCCUCAUCUCCGCAACCUUACACCCUCAUCAGAGCCACCAGCACCAGCUUACAGUGGCCCAUCUUCUGCAAAUGAUCGAUCCGGAUAUAGUGGAAAUCGGUGGGGUGGUCCCAGGAAUGACUUUAAUCAGACUGGUUACAGUAGUGGUGGCCGCACAGGUGGUUGGAAUAAUAGAAGCGGUGGGUGGGAUCGCGGGAGAGAGCGGGAAGUAAACCCUUUUGGGGAUGAUGUUGAUACAGAACAGGUAUUCAGUGAGCAAGAGAAUACGGGUAUUAACUUUGAUGCCUAUGAAGAUAUUCCAGUGGAGACUAGUGGGGAUAAUGUGCCUCCUCCAGUGAAUACCUUUGCAGAGAUUGACUUGGGUGAAGCACUCAAUCAAAAUAUCAAGAGGUGCAAGUAUGUGAAGCCGACACCUGUGCAGCGGCAUGCCAUUCCAAUUUCCCUGGCAGGGCGAGAUCUGAUGGCAUGUGCCCAGACUGGAUCCGGAAAGACAGCAGCAUUUUGCUUUCCGAUUAUCAGUGGGAUUAUGAAGGGGCAGGCUUCACAGAGACCACCGCGGGGGGCACGUACAGUAUACCCACUUGCUCUCAUUCUUUCUCCUACAAGGGAGCUCUCUUGCCAGAUACAUGACGAAGCUAAGAAAUUUUCAUAUCAAACUGGAGUGAAGGUGGUUGUUGCUUAUGGAGGAGCACCAAUUAGUCAACAGCUGCGGGAUCUAGAAAGAGGUGUUGAUAUUCUGGUGGCGACUCCUGGACGGUUGGUAGAUUUGCUCGAGAGGGCAAGAGUUUCAUUACAGAUGAUAAGGUAUUUAGCUCUAGAUGAGGCAGAUCGAAUGCUGGAUAUGGGGUUUGAACCGCAAAUAAGGAAAAUUGUGGAACAAAUGGAUAUGCCUCCGCAGGGUGUAAGACAGACAAUGCUGUUCAGUGCCACCUUUCCAAAAGAGAUACAGAAACUAGCCUCCGAUUUCCUUUCAAAUUAUGUUUUUCUGGCUGUUGGAAGAGUUGGUUCGAGUACUGACUUAAUUGUCCAAAGAGUUGAGUUUGUUCAUGAUACUGACAAGAGAAGUCAUCUCAUGGAUCUUCUUCAUGCGCAGAGGGCAAAUGGUGUCCAUGGAAAGCAAUAUCUGACUUUAGUCUUUGUGGAGACUAAGAAAGGUGCUGAUUCGCUGGAACAUUGGUUGUGUAUGAAUGGUUUUCCUGCAACUACUAUUCAUGGUGACAGAACACAACAGGAAAGAGAACAGGCAUUGAGGUCAUUUAAAAGCGGUGUCACCCCAAUUUUGGUUGCUACAGAUGUGGCAGCCCGUGGUCUUGAUAUUCCCCAUGUUGCGCAUGUUGUCAACUUUGACCUACCAAAUGACAUUGAUGAUUAUGUCCACCGAAUUGGGAGGACAGGACGUGCUGGGAAAACAGGUUUAGCGACUGCAUUCUUCAAUGACAACAACUCGUCAUUGGCAAAGGCUUUAUCUGAGCUAAUGCAAGAAGCAAAUCAAGAAGUACCUGCUUGGCUGUCACGUUAUGCAGCUCGAUCUCCUUAUGUGGGAAGGAACCGUCGUUCUGGGGGAGGAGGCCGGUUUGGUGGCCGUGACUUUCGAAGAGAUGCCUCUUUUAAUAGGGGUGGCACAGAUUACUAUAGCGGAGGCAACAGCAGCACUGGAUAUGGGACUGCUGGCGGAUAUGGAGGAGGAUAUGGUUCAGGGGUGACCAGCGCGUGGGACUAAUAUCCAGCACUUUACAGCACUCAGUUUUAUCUGAAAUAUAGUGUCUAGGUAACUGUUGCAAACUCUUUCACUUCUUUUAUAGGCUUACUUUUUCACUUUGUUUUUGUCGUUUUUUCAUUAGUGUUUCAGGAGAAAAUUUACUAACCGGUUAAGGAUUACCAUGUAGCUUUCUUUGUCCUCUUUUUUCCUCCUCUUGGUUUUUGGCUGUUAGUUUUUGGUGGGUGAUGGGUUGUAGAAUAUGUACUUUGGGGGUGGGGGAGAGAUGGUGCCUUUUUAGGCCAAAUAUUUAUGUUUACGACAUAUAUCAUAUUCUUUUCAACCCAGUUUGGAGGUGGGAGGUUUGUUUGUUGAAGCUCUCAUCCUCUAUCAUUCUAAGUUAGAGCUUCUUUCAUUUUCUUCCCCUUUUAAAUGUCCUUCAAGGCUGUUGUAAUAAAGAUACAAAACUCUCUUUGUACAACGAUUCUGUAGCUUAGGUGUCUGAAACUGCGCCCUAUCAUAAAGGGCAGGGGAGGAUAAGAUCAGCUGGUUCAGUAAAUAAGUUUUAAUGAAACGAAGAGGAGAAUAUCAUGUUAGGUCAUUGGAUUCUGUGGCAGGAAGUAGACAAAGAAAGCAUGGAAAGCUGCUCCUUUAUUCAUAUUGUGGACUGUUUGGAAUGAAAGAAAUAGUUCUCUCGAAGAUAUGGAGUAUAUGGAUCAAAUGCUAAAAUGUUUUUUGUUGUGUUUCUUUUUAGACUGGUUAAGGAUGGACUUAAAAUGA